CUACGGGUGGCAGCAGUGAGGAAUAUUGCACAAUGGGGGGAACCCUGAUGCAGCAACGCCGCGUGGAGGAUGACGCAUUUCGGUGUGUAAACUCCUUUUAUAUGUCAAGAAAAUGACGGUAGCAUAUGAAUAAGCACCGGCUAACUCCGUGCCAGCAGCCGCGGUAAUACGGAGGGGUGCAAGCGUUACUCGGAAUCACUGGGCGUAAAGGACGCGUAGGCGGGUUGGAAAGUCAGGUGUGAAAUCCUACAGCUUAACUGUAGAACUGCACUUGAAACUUCUAAUCUAGAGUAUGGGAGGGGGAGAUGGAAUUAGUGGUGUAGGGGUAAAAUCCGUAGAUAUCACUAGGAAUACCUAAAGCGAAGGCGAUCUCCUGGAACAUUACUGACGCUAAGGCGUGAAAGCGUGGGGAGCAAACAGGAUUAGAUACCCUAGUAGUC
rnacentral:rRNA from 1 species